AGAGAGGCGGCAGGAGUUAAAGGCUUUCUAAUCACAGAAUUACUGGAGCAGCAAGAAGAAACUGUACUUGGAGGUGCUGCCAGGCAGAUGAACAGCCUUCAGCAUUGGGUGGCAUUUCCCAAGGUGCAACCUGCAUUAGCUUUGGGUCACGCUCAAGAAAUGAAAAGGUAGGGAGAGGCCGAGCGAUGCCCCUUCUCUGACUCUGAGAAGUGUGCUGUGAGGGACAGGACACAAGUCCAGAGGACCAAGGGAUGGUUCGGAGCAGCUGGAGAGAGCUGAGCUGGGGCACCGUGACAGCAGCAUCCCACAACUCCACUGGGUUGACCACAGACAGUGAGGGAAAUGCCCUUUGUGACUCUGGAACCAAAUGACCAAGGAGGAUGACAGGGGGAUCAGCUG